rnacentral:tRNA from 1 species
AGCUUUGGAGUUUGUGAGGAAUGUUUGUUUGUGGUGCAAGAGGAGUUGGAGGCUA